CCAGGAGUGUGCAUUUGUAAUAGUUAUUGACAUACUGAUGUUUAUGAUAAUAAGCUUGGGAUAUAAUAAGACUCCACCUGCUGAAUGACAGCUCAUGUAAAAGCUUCUUCAUUGAAAAGAAAUAAUCAACACAACUGCGAUUGUCCAGUCAAUAUGAUCAUUCUACUCCUCAGCAUCUAUCCUAACAUCCUAGUUUCGGGUUCCUCUUUCAGUGAUCAAGUUCACCAGACUCCAGCAAACAUUUACACAAAAGGAGAAGAUGCUAAAAUCUACUGCUCACACAGUAUUUCAGGCUAUUACCAAAUCCUCUGGUACAAGCAGUCAGAAGAACAGCUACAGUUUCUCGGAUACAUGCUUUAUAGCGAGGGUAAUCCAGAACCAGGAGUGAAUGUGACGAUGGACGGGGAUGCAAAUCAAAAAGAAAACUGCACAUUAACAAUUAAAGAUCUCAAAGUGAGCAGCAGUGGAGUGUACUUCUGUGCUGCUAGUUACCACAGUGGUGCACAUCACUGCACCUCAAUACAAAAACCUAUCAAACACAUUUUUUAUAUCUGCAUUGAAGCUCACAGCCUCACACACCUGGAACCAGCCAUUAUAACCAAUGUUGGUCUCACAAAUAUCAGAUAUUAUAAUAGAAGAUUCCUCAUGAGCUGCAAAGCAACAUUUAAGCUGUCAUAUCCUGUUAUUAAAAACAAUGACACAACCUCCCCACAUGUAUCACUUUCACCUUACUGUAACUUAAAAUGUUUUUAACAUCUUUAAAAAAUCUCUUUUUUUUCCUAUUAUCAUCUAAUACAGUCCAAUGAGUGAUAAGAUAAUUCUCUCAAUGAACUCUGUUGAAAGUGUUAUGGUAGUUUACAAUUAAGGUUUUUGUGAAAUGAAAUUGUGUUAUUACUUUUGUUCAUUAAUUUGCUGGUUAUAUUGUAUGGCUGAAUAAAUAUUGGCUCAGUGCUGGACUUUUAAUGACCUCACACUGCUAACCAGCUUCAACAAAUAGGUAGAUACCAGCACAGAUUAAGAUGGAAACACAAAAGCAAGCACACUUAUGUUCAUUCAGUCAGAAAACACAACAUCAUGAUUGUUUUCUGGCCUGCUCACACCCCCAUGAACCUUUAACAUUUCCUCUCAUAAGGUGGCAGCAUAUAUCCUUGCUCAAAAUUCUAUACCUAUCAAAGAUGUGCAUUUGUAAUAGCUUUUGACACAGUGAUGUUUAUGAUAAUAAGCUUAAGAUAUAAUGAGACUCCACCUGCUGAAUGACAGUUUGCUCAUGAGAAAGUUUCUUCAUUGAAUAGAAAUAAUCGACACAACUGAGAUCAUCAUGAUCAUUCUACUCCUCAGCAUCUAUGCUAACAUCCUAGUUUCAGCAGCUUCCUCUUUCAGUGAUCAAGUCGACCAGACUCCUGCUAACAUUUACACAAAUGAAGAAGAAGCUAAAAUCCACUGCUCACACAAUGUUCAAAGCUUUUACCAGAUCCUCUGGUAUCAGCAGUCAAAGAAACAACUACCGUAUCUUGGAUACAUGUACUUAGGCAAAAGUUCUGUAGAAUCUGUAGGAUCUCAAACUGAGCAGCAGUGGAGUGUACUUCUGUGCUGCGAGCUCCCACAGUGCUGCAGAUCAUUCAACCUCAGUACAAAUACCUCCCAGAUGCAUUUAAAAAAAUUAUUUCUAUUAAAAGCUCACAACCCCUCACACCUGGAAUCAGCCAUUAAAACCAAUGUUGGUCUCACAAAGAUCAGAUAUGGGAAAAGUUUCAUUUCGAGCCCCAGUGCAACAUUUAAACUGGUUGUUAUAAAGAGCAACCUCCAACAUUAAAAACGUCUGACAUACCCAAAAUUUACCAUGAACUAAAUCUCAACUAACAAUCUCAUGUGUUUCAGUUUGGAAUAUAAAUGUGUGUCAAUGUUGCGUUGUGAUGUGUCGUAUCGUGUCAUGUUGUGUUAUAUGUAGUGCCGAUA